AUUAAAAUAAAUCAGGAACAUCAGUAACAGUAACCCAUUCGCGAACUAACUUCUUCAACUUUAGCAGCUUCACAAACUCAUAGCUUUUUUUCAUAAUUGAAGCUUCACCCUAAAAUCAGUUCUUCACCUUGAAAUCGCAGCUUCGCAAACUCAGAGUUUAUCGCAGCUUCGCAAACUCAGAGUUUAUCGCAGCUUCACAGACUCAUAACGAACCCAAAUUUCUUCUCCUCAAAAUCGAUUCAUCCCAAAAUCAAUUCUUCUCCCAAAAUCGGUCCAUCCUAAGCAGAACCCUAAACCGUUCAAUUGUUUCUGUGACGAACCCUAAGGUAUUCUUCUCCCAAAACCUGUUCAUCCUCCUCGCUGGUCGCUUCUCUUUUGAGACCUACAGAAACCCUAAUCGAAGAAAUUGGACCAAGUUUUCAUCUCAAAUUGGAUUCGUCGACACUCGCCUCCCCUCUUCCCACUAUUAUCGUUCUUUUAAGGUUUGAUUUGGGAUUGGAGAUUGAAAUUGAUUUACUGCUUCCAAACACAGAAGCUACUCGCCGUUAAACCCACUGCAUGAGUUUAGAUUUCAUUGAAGAAUCUAUUGAUUAAAGAGUUAGACUUGGAGUUUCUAGAAGAAUCCAUUUUGUGAAGAUAAGUUUAAUGCUAAAUUUUGUUCGGGCCUUUUCUUUUUAAUCCAUUCAAGUUGUUCUUGCUACUUUUUCUUGAAGAUAAAAUUUAUUCUACUUGUUCUCACUCUUUUGAUUAUUCAAUAGAUUAUUGCAGAUAAAUUUAUUAGUUCUGAGGUUAAUAGAUGUCGUGAAUCGUGAUAUGCCUCAAAACCCUUUUAUUAUUGCAACUGAAACUAUUAGAGGUGAUGUUUAUGUCUUUGGUGACAGUAAAUAUCCUUUUAAACCUCCUCUUGAUGGUACUUGUGACCUUAAUUUGAGUUUUAAGAGGUCUAAACAUCUAAAGCUCCUAUUGGUGAUAUGCAGAUUUUUAAGGUACAUGAAGGUGUUGUGGAAUGCAAGAAAUGCAAAAUUUCUUAAUGAUGUAUAUAAGGAUUCAAAUUCUACAGCGGAAGAGAUAAAGGUUUUAAAGUGGCGAUGGACUGUGCAUAGGUUGAAAAUUGAACCGUUUUAUUUUACGAAUAAACUUGGAACCCGCGGUAUUGCUUCCAGAGAUAAUUUGGUCUCGUUCGAGGUGUGAUGGUUUAAUCACUCUUUCUCUGCUCUGGAUUUUUGCUGCUGCGUUUCUGUUUUCGUUCAGCUCGUGGCUUCGCUGGUUUGGUGAGUGAGGUUGUGUUCUUAUCCUUGCUAUCGGUUUAGGAAGUUUUUUGACUGGGCAAAAGUGUUUUACCUGCUGCUAUUGUGUUUCUUUUCCCUCUAUUGCAUGUGCAGGUCUUACUAUUUUGGCUCAUUGUUUCUUUUGAGCUUUUCCAUCAGCCUUUGUGUUUUUGGUUUUUUUCCUCAGGUUGUUAGUUUUUGUUUUAUGGAUACAACUCUGUUAUUAAUUGCUUUUCUUUUCAUUUUGAAUACAUGGUACGUUUGUUGAUUACAUUUGGAUGGGUGCUGCUUGAAAUGUAUUCUUAUGCCAUUCCAUCUGCUCCACAGGUUGUUCAUAACAUAUUAUUCAAGGAAUUCUAGCAUUGGCGCUGUUGUGAAUUACCUAGUUUCCGAUUUGAAUCGUUCAUUGAGUUAGACUACCUAGUUGCCACUUGCACAAAUCUUCCAAGAUGUUGGACGGAUUGGUCGGUUGAGGAUCCGCCACUAAAUGGUUUUGCAUUUAGAUUUCUUAUUUCUAUGCUCUUUUGAUUCUUUGUACAACGGCUCCAUCACGAAGGCUCUGUUGCUAAGAGAGAAAAUGUUGUAGUGUAGAAAUCCACCUGAGGCUUAUUUCGAGUUACAGGUAGAGAGGAUGGCAAAAUACUACUUUAUAAUAUGCUGAAGUCUCAUAUUUUAGUGAUGUAUUAUGUUUUUGUUAAGAAAUCAUAGUAGGAUUGUUCAUUAGGAUAUUUAAUGACUAUAUACAUGUUCAAGAUAGUAUAACUUGUAUUCUUUUUUGAUAUGUAAUUUCAUAAGUUUUCAUA